GACGAACGCUGGCGGCGUGCCUAAUACAUGCAAGUCGAACGCACUCUCGUUUAGAUUGAAGGAGUUUGCUCCUGAUUGAUAAACAUUUGAGUGAGUGGCGGACGGGUGAGUAACACGUGGGUAACCUGCCCUAAAGUGGGGGAUAACAUUUGGAAACAGAUACUAAUACCGCAUAAAACCUAACACCGCAUGGUGUAGGGUUGAAAGAUGGUUUCGGCUAUCACUUUAGGAUGGACCCGCGGUGCAUUAGUUAGUUGGUGAGGUAAAGGCUCACCAAGACCGUGAUGCAUAGCCGACCUGAGAGGGUAAUCGGCCACACUGGGACUGAGACACGGCCCAGACUCCUACGGGAGGCAGCAGUAGGGAAUCUUCCACAAUGGACGAAAGUCUGAUGGAGCAACGCCGCGUGAGUGAAGAAGGUUUUCGGAUCGUAAAACUCUGUUGUUGGAGAAGAAUGUAUCUGAUAGUAACUGAUCAGGUAGUGACGGUAGCCAACCAGAAAGCCACGGCUAACUACGUG
rnacentral:rRNA from 1 species